rnacentral:rRNA from 1 species
GUAGGUGAACCUGCGGAAGGAUCAUUCCCAUUCCAACAAAAUCUUAACUUAUCCGUGGCCUCCGGCCACCGUUGCAGGAACUAUACUUAAACUUGCGGCGAUGGACAUCUUGGUUCCCAUAACGAUGAAGAACGCAGCGAAGUGCGAUAAGCAAUGCGAAUUGCAGAACCGUGAGUCAUUAGAGUUUUGAACGCAACUGGCGCCAGUGGGCCAUCCUGCUGGCAUGCUUGUUUCAGUGUCUCUCAAUCUGAUGCGCUAUGCGCGAACUUAAUGCGAGAGAUGUCUUCUCUCGUCAAACACGAAAGCACACUGCUACGUGCACGUGACUUCGGUCACCCUCAAUGCUGCCGUCACCCUGUGUGAACUCAUUGAGCGCAGUAGCAGCCAGCGAAAGCGACGUGCUUCGAGCGAACACCUUUCUCUGUACCUGAAAUCAAGCAGGACCACCCGCUGAACUGAAGCAUCUCACUA